rnacentral:rRNA from 1 species
AUUGAACGCUGGCGGCAGGCUUAACACAUGCAAGUCGAGCGGAGAGAGGUAGCUUGCUACUGAUCUUAGCGGCGGACGGGUGAGUAAUGCUUAGGAAUCUGCCUAUUAGUGGGGGACAACAUUUCGAAAGGAAUGCUAAGACCGCAUACGUUCUAAGGUAGAAAGCAGGGGAUCUUCGGACCUUGCACUAAUAGAUGACCCUAGGUAGGAUUAGCUAGUUGGUGGGGUAAAGGCCUACCAAGGCGACGAUCUGUAGCGGGUCUGAGAGGAUGAUCCGCCACACUGGGACUGAGACACGGCCCAGACUCCUACGGGAGGCAGCAGUGGGGAAUAUUGGACAAUGGGCGCAAGCCUGAUCCAGCCAUGCCGCGUGUGUGAAGAAGGCCUUAUGGUUGUAAAGCACUUUAAGCGAGGAGGAGGCUACUUUAGUUAAUACCUAGAGAUAGUGGACGUUACUCGCAGAAUAAGCACCGGCUAACUCUGUGCCAGCCGCCGCGGUAACAC